rnacentral:rRNA from 1 species
GAUGAACGCUGGCGGCGUGCCUAAUACAUGCAAGUCGAACGCUGAAGCUUGGUGCUUGCACCGAGCGGAUGAGUUGCGAACGGGUGAGUAACGCGUAGGUAACCUGCCUCUUAGCGGGGGAUAACUAUUGGAAACGAUAGCUAAUACCGCAUAAAAGUCGAUAUCGCAUGAUAUUGAUUUGAAAGGUGCAAAUGCAUCACUAAGAGAUGGACCUGCGUUGUAUUAGCUAGUUGGUGAGGUAACGGCUCACCAAGGCGACGAUACAUAGCCGACCUGAGAGGGUGAUCGGCCACACUGGGACUGAGACACGGCCCAGACUCCUACGGGAGGCAGCAGGAGGGAAUCUUCGGCAAUGGGGGCAACCCUGACCGAGCAACGCCGCGUGAGGGAAGAAGGUUUUCGGAUCGUAAAGCUCUGUUGUAAGAGAAGAACGAGUGUGAGAGUGGAAAGUUCACACUGUGACGGUAACUUACCAGAAAGGGACGGCUAACUACGUG